rnacentral:rRNA from 1 species
UAUAAUUGUUAAUGUUUUUAACAUAUAUUUUAUAAUUAUAUUUAUAGUAUAAAUAAAAAAUAAUAUUUUAUUAAAAUUGAAAAAUAAUAUAAUGAUAAUAAUAGAAUAAUUUUAAGUACCUUUUGUAUCAGGGUAAAUUUAAUAAAUUUUAAUUAUUUAAUAUUCCCGAAAUAAAGAUAUCUAUAUUAUAAUUUUUAUAUAUUGUUUUAUAAAUAUUUAUAAAUUUAAUAUAGUAGAGAAAUUCUAAUCGCUCUUUUUUAUAUCUGGUUAUUCAGGAAUUCAAUUUAAUUGAUGAUUAAAGUUUUUUUAAAUUUUAUUUAGUUUUAAUCUUAUGUAAUUUGGGAUAAUCUAUUUUUCUAUUUAAAAUUUAAAGUAUUAUUAUAUUUAUUUAUUUUAAAAUCUUUUACUAAGUUCUUAAUAGAUUAAUAUUCAUAUUUUUAAUUUUAUUAAAUUUAUAUUUUUACUAAAUUUUUAAAUAUAUUUUUUAUUUUUAUUUAAUAAUGAUUUAAUUAGUAUAAUUUAUAAUUAUAACAUAAAUAAUUCGACAAAAUUAAUCUUCAACUGUUUAUCAAAAACAUUUCUUUUAGAUUUAAAUUAAAAGUAAAUUCUGCCCUAUGAUUAUAUAAAUUAAAUGGCUGCAGUAUUUUGACUGUGCAAAGGUAGCAUAAUAAUUAGUCAUUUAAUUGUUGACUUGUAUGAAUGGAUAUAUGAAGGAUUUAUUUUUUUUGGUUUAAUAUUAAAAUUUUAUUUUUAAGUUAAAAAGCUUAAUUAAUUUUUAGGGACGAUAAGACCCUAUAGAACUUUACUAUGUAAUUAAUAUUAAUUAUUUAUAGUUAAUUUUAUAUUUAUAAUAUUUAUAUUUUUUUGUUGGGGUGAUAAAUAAAUUUUAAACUUUAUUUUUAUAAUUCAAUAAUUUUUGUUUAUUAUGAUCCAUUUUUUAGAUUAUAAGGAUAAGUUACCUUAGGGAUAACAGCGUAAUUUUAAUGGGGAGUUCAUAUUUAUAUUAAAGUUUGCGACCUCGAUGUUGAAUUAAGAUAAGUUUGUGGGGCAGGUUUUACAUUUCUAAGUCUGUUCGACUUUUAAAUUCUUACAUGAUUUGAGUUCAAACCGGUGUAAGCCAGGUUGGUUUCUAUCUUAAAAAAUCUUUUUUUAUUUAGUACGAAAGGACCAAUAAUAACAAUUAAAUUUGUAUUUAAUGAAUUUUAU